UGGGGAAUUUUAUACAAUGGGCGCAAGCCUGAUGUAGCAACGCCGCGUGGAGGAUGAAGGAUUUAGGUCUGUAAACUCCUUUUAUAAGGGAAGAAAUUUGACGGUACCUUAUGAAUAAGCACCGGCUAACUCCGUGCCAGCAGCCGCGGUAAUACGGGGGGUGCAAGCGUUACUCGGAAUCACUGGGCGUAAAGGGAGCGUAGGCGUUCUAUUAAGUCUUGAGUGAAAGCCUGCAGCCUAACUGCAGAACUGCUUGGGAAACUGAUAGAAUUGAGUAUGGAAGAGGUCAGUGGAAUUUCCGGUGUAGGGGUAAAAUCCGUAGAUAUCGGAAGGAAUACCAGAAGCGAAGGCGACUGACUGGGACAUUACUGACGCUGAGGCUCGAAAGCGUGGGGAGCAAACA
rnacentral:rRNA from 1 species